AUCUGGAGCCGUUUUGAUCUCCUGUAACCUGUUCACAAAUGCAUAUAUUUCAUAACAGGCCCCGCGCGUCGAUAAGGAUCUCUGAGCUUCUUCUGCGCGGUAUCUGCAAACAAUUCAAAGCUGUUCCACACAAACAAAUGUGAGAACCCCCUGACCACAGACUGCCUUUAGAGCAGACCAAGAUUUGAUGUUACUCAUAUCUUCCAGUACCUGUCAGAGUUCAAACAGGAAACCUGGUUUUUCCUCUAAUGUCAACAACUCUUUUUUCUGAACAGGCGUUCGGCAGCAGGCGCACGCUCGAGCGGUGGAAGUCCUGUGUUUCUUCAGGACAAACAAGAGCUUGCUCUGAUGCGAAAAAUAUCUGACAUGCAGCUGCAUUGUGAAAAGCAAACACAGGCGUUUCCAUGACUUUCAUCUCGGCCUGUAUUUAUGUCAUUAUAAAACAUGCUUCUGUGGCAUGCAUAAUCGAGGGGCAGAACAUCUGGUGAAGUCUUGUUACAGCAAAAGGGUGACUUUACACAGUCUGGCAAGAGACAGAGCACUGGCUGGCAUGAUGUGGAUGCUAAUUAAAUGGGUCACUUCUUGGAUGUUCCCUUUUCAAAAGGCAUCUGAUGCUCCGUGGAUGCCACCGCGUUUGGCAGCAUCUUUAGUAAAGUGCUUCGGGAAAGUGCUACUGAUCCUCUUCAGGAAUGUGCUAAGCUGCAAUUAGAUAUGUAUAAGUAACUACAGACAACUACUGUUAAGGGCAAACUGAGCUUCACCCAGUAAUUGUGGGUAUUAUUGUUUCCAGUAUGUAGUAAUAACUGCAUGCAGUGGUAUGUAUUUUUCUAGUUAUGAAGGCUUACUAGUAAUUGAAUUAUAUAUUGUUGCCACUAACCCUUAUUUCAGGGGGCAACAGAUACAUUUUUGCUUUUUUAUGGAUUCUAAGUUGUAUAAAUAAAAGUAUGGCUUCCUCUGUAAUAUUCAAAAAACAAAUGAGUUCACCUUGGUGGAGAUCAGCACACGCGUUGGGGACACGUGCUCCUCUUACACAGCAUGUAUAGCGGUUGUGAUGAGCAUAUGGAUUUGGAUUUAUGGCAGGUGUUUAACUGAUCGCACAGGCCUAUGGAAGAGACACCCUCACACCCCGUCGAGCGGGACAGCUUGCCAACCCCAGGGAUCGUCAAUGGAUGUGACUGUAGACGUUGACCUUCACCAGACUCAAUUUCCCACCGCGGUGGGCAAAGCUCUGAGAAGCCGAACAGGUGUUAGAGACACUCCUGGGUUGUAACUACGCGUCACGCUUUCUCCUGGGUCAUUCCAGGUGUAAAUGGGCCCCCGGCCGCGUGGUGGUGGUCCCGCGCGGUGGUGGUGGUCCCGCGCGGUGGUGGUGAUGCUCUGGCUCUGCUCCGUUGGGGGUUGCGUUGGCGAGGCCAAAACGAGGAGAUCAGGGCAACGGUGCCUUUUGCAGAUGGGCAACUGAGACCAAGAGCCGGGAAGCGGCUUGCCGGGGAUCCCGCGGGAUGCUGGCAGCAGGGAGGUGCGCGUCUGCCUGCUGCCCCGGCCACCCAACCGUCCCGGCUCUUGCUUGCAGGCGCAGAGUCUGCAAACGCCAUGGUUUAGAAAGUGCUGCUAAAGCAAGGGCGCAGCGACGAGACUCCGCUGCGAGACGCGCAAAAAUAAACAACAGGCAAGAAGCAGUGUCAUGCAGAUGAGCUUUUUAAGGCUUCUGCUUUAAUAAUCGAAGGUGCUAUUGGAAACACGCAAGGAAAUGUCUGUUUUUUAAAAAAUGAAAUACGAUUUUAACCGGAUAAAAUCCCUUUAAUCUGAAAUUUUUGCUUAUAUUUUAUAACAACAUAUUUUCACAUGCAUGGCAGAAAGUUGGGAAAGCAUGGAAAGCACUGACGGCAUGCAGCAGUCGCUGCCGGGCUACAGCAGAGUAUUUUAAUGAAACCAGACAAAUGCCAGCUUGUGGGAAACAUUUGUCUGGUGGUCCCUUUCCUUUGCUUUGUCACCUUCCACUUCUGUUUUGGGACAGAAUAAAUGAGCCAUGUUGGAGAAUCAGGUUGUUUACAUGAUGCAAUAUUUAAAUGAUUUUUGGUUUUCUUUAUGUCUGGACAGGUAAUCAUCACCUUGGUAGCCCCGGUUACAGCAGCAAAGCCCUCCUUUCCUUGCAGACCAGCUUGGGUCACCAUGGGAAAUGGUUUCCCCCAAAACAGCGAUCGUUUUGCACUCAGUUUGCCGUGACAUAGGGACCUUUUGAUACGGCUGCUCAGCAUCGAGGUGGUCCUCAAUGGAAUCUGGGAAUCUACCAUAGUGCAAACGGUGGUUAUGACCAGUAAUAAAAGUGCAAGAGGGCUUCAACCGUACAUCCGCCUGGGAUAUUCGCGGCGAAAGGCCGAGGAGCCCUCUCCCGUCCUGCCGAGGGCCCCGGCGUGCGCGACGCGCCCGCGCUCGCUUCCUUCCAGCGCCAGGGCCGGGCGAGCGCCGCGCUGGUGAAGAGCACCGUCUUGCAUAUUUUCCAUCUAACUAACCACAGGCCGUUUGUUUUCAAGCGCUUCAGUUACUGCUCUGUGGUAGGGAAUAGGCUGCGUAGCCGGGUGCCUCUUCUACCAGCUUCCCUGUUUUAGACCUCAAAACGCCGAGAGGCUGCAACGCUGGGAGCUCUGCCCUUGCUGGCGGCCCGUUUUGUCCCCGUGGUGCAAAGUCCCCAGUGAGAUGCAAAGACAGCCUGUUUUCUCCUCCUGAGACUCUGGCUUUAGUCCUUAGGUGCUUUCCCUGCGUCUCUGGUCGCCUCUCCUCCUGCAAGGCUCCUGCUUGGCUGCCGUGGCUGAGGACGCCUUUUCGUUGGUGGCACGUGGACGGGGGAGGUCCACCAGCCUGCUGGAGCACGUCCUCGCGCGAGGCCUGGAGCAGCGAGCGGAGGGAGGAGGUGGCACUUCCAGGGCUCGGCACGCGGCUGUGAUGGCCGCGGGGUUGCUGCCAGCUUGGAGCGGUGCCACCCCCCUGCACCCGCGUCUUCUCCAUCUCUUAAGCACCUCGUCUAAUGCUGCUUGUCGUGCUGAGACUAGUCACUCCACCAGCUUCAGCGAGGAUUCAGUGCAGUGGCCACGUGUGCCUCAGUUUACCUAUCUAUAAAUUGCUAUAUUUUCUCUUUAGUUUUUUUGGGUAGGUAAAACACGAUUUUAAAGCUGCCGUGAGUUUUUCAGGCUGCAGGUAGUAGGGAGUGGAGAUGGUUACAAGCUCCAGGGUUUCUUUGAACAGCGAGACAACUCUUUGGAGGCCUAUCGACUACAGAAUUGCUUCACGAGUGCCAGAGUGGGGGGGAAUUCAGAGAAAUCUGCCCAGAAAAACCACGUUUUGGGGAUCCAUGCUCUUAGGUUGCCUCUGGCUCCUCACACUGACACCGUUGUGGUGUGCCUUUGGUUGAAACCGAGUGGAGAACACCAAAGAAAUAUUAUAACAGAAAAAAACCCCAAACCCUCAUGGUUAAAACACAAAGCACCUAGGCUGAUUUUCUUCUCUUUCUGAAUUUCUUUGCUGCUUUUGUUUGUAAGACGAGAGUGGGUGGUUGCAUGUACAGGUGGCCUUUGGUCCCCCGUUUUUACUGCAUACAAACGAAGCCAGGCAGCAGGCAGAGCAUCGUUGCAGAGGGGUUGUUUUUCAUUUGGGCUGUCUAGCGCGGCACUUUUUUCCUAGCCGUGCUGGCUUUUUCCACCACCACGUCUCCGCUAGCCAAGAGCGCCCGGAGCUCCCCGCCGAGGAUGCCCCCGGGCAGCACCCAUGGGUGCUCCUGGCACCCUGCCCGCGCCCCGGAGCCCCGUGGUCCUGGCGACCCGUGAAGACCCUGGGGCCACUUCAAAGCCUUUUCCAGGAGAUCUGACACCAGAAAAGCUCCAGAGGCAGAACAAAACUUCUACCAGGGAAUGACAUUCUUGUGUCCAUCUAAAAUGCACGUUUUUUUGCGUCUUUAUUUCUCUUGCAAGUCCCCCAUCGCUUCCCACCCCUGCCACUGAGCUAUGCCAGGAGAAGCGAAGUUGAAGAUUCCCAUGAUUUCCAUGAAGAUUUCUGUGUCCCUUGGCUUAAGCCAGGUGGGAAACACUAGUGAGAGCAAGUGUUAAACAGGGGUUUUAGCAGCUUUUGUUCUCCGGGGAUAUAUGAUCUUGGAAGAGAUGAAACCUUGACUUUCCAGUCAGAGGUCUUAUUUGCUUGGGUAAGGCUAGAGCUGUGCAAAUAAAUGCAGUGUAUAAUGAGAGUGACAACUGUCAGCACUGGAUAUUUCACACUCACUGUAAAACCGAAACUUGUUUGGUUUUUUUUUUUUGGAAAAAUUCACUGAUUUUUUUUCCAUUCAGAAAUGAGUUAUUCUCAAAUAAAGAGAUGAGGCUCU